rnacentral:miRNA from 1 species
UGAAAGACAAACAAAGGUGGG